GACGAACGCUGGCGGCGUGCUUAACACAUGCAAGUCGAACGGAAAGGCCCUGCUUUUGUGGGGUGCUCGAGUGGCGAACGGGUGAGUAACACGUGAGUAACCUGCCCUUGACUUUGGGAUAACUUCAGGAAACUGGGGCUAAUAUCGGAUAGGAGCCCCUGUUGCAUGGUGGGGGUUGGAAAGUUUCGGCGGUUGGGGAUGGACUCGCGGCUUAUCAGCUUGUUGGUGGGGUAGUGGCUUACCAAGGCUUUGACGGGUAGCCGGCCUGAGAGGGCGACCGGCGACAAGAGGACUGAGGGACGGCCCAGACGCCAACGGGAGGCAACAGUGGGGAGUAUGGCACAGUGAGAGGGAGCCUGAUGCGAAGGCGCCGCGGGCGGAAUGACGGCCUGCGGGUUGUGAACCGCUUUCGCCUGAGACGAAGCGUGAGUGACGGUAAUGGAUAAAGAAGCACCGGCUAACUACGUG
rnacentral:rRNA from 1 species